UACCGCAUACGUUUCCGGAACUUCGGUUUCGGAAGAAAGCAAUACCGUGGGUAUUGCGCUCCUGGAUGGGCUCAUGUCCUAUCAGCUUGUUGGUGAGGUAACGGCUUCACCCAAGGCUUCGACGGGUAGCUGGUCUGAGAGGACGAUCAGCCACACUGGCACUGCGACACGGGCCAGACUCCUACGGGAGGCAGCAGUAAGGAAUAUUGCGCAAUGGACGAAAGUCUGACGCAGCGACGCCGCGUGGGGGAUGAAGGUCUUCGGAUUGUAAACCCCUUUCGGGAGGGAAGAUGGAGUGGGUAACCACUUGGACGGUACCUCCAGAAGCAGCCACGGCUAACUUCGUG
rnacentral:rRNA from 1 species